GGAGGUUGAUUGACACUGAAGCUGGAGGAAGAUUGACAGACAGAAGGUUUCUAAUCAUCAGAGGAGUGAAGCUCUGCAACAGCCUUCCAAUUGGAGUAGCGGGGGAAAAUGACCCAACCAGUUUUAAAAUGGAGCUUGAUAAGUUUAUGAACAGAAUUAUAUGAUGGGGUAGCCUGCAAUAGAAGGGAACUGCAUUUAAUGACCCAAGACAUCCCUUCCUGUCCUGUUUCAUGUUCCGAACACUGUUCCAUUCAUAUAUACCCUGCACAAGUGCCUGAGUUAUAUUUGUAGGGGUGAUGGGGUGAGCUUCCCCACACUAGCCCUGCAAGAGCGGAAUUGGGCCAGGUGGGCCCAAUCAGCUAAUUAGGCUGCACGCAGUGGAGAUUUUGGUUGGAGGUAGCUAAUUUGGGAACAGGCUCACCUGUGCAGGGACAGGUAGCGCCUAUAAAGCCAGGUAACUGCCCACAGAGUGAGGGGCUGCUGAGAAAGGACAGUUACUCCCUAGGAAGAUGGUUCUUGGAGCUGGUACUGCCGGGAAGGGGAAGCAGUCCAGAGAAGAAGUAGUUAGGGCAGAAAGAAGAAGCUCAGAACUGCUAAGCUGAGGGUCCCUGGGCUGGAACUCAGAGUAGAGGAUGGGAUUAAGUUCCCCAACCAGAGACUGAGGGAGUCGCACCAAAUGGGAAGACUGCCUAGGAUUGUUGAUGGACUGAACCUUGGAAGAGGGAAAGCUAUGUGACCUAGCUGGAGGGCUAAGUCAUGAAGCUGACACACUGGUCCUGGAGCAAGAGGAACUGCUGGUCAGAGUAAUGGUAUGCAAACUGUGGAUGGGGGUGCUGGCCUUGAGCUGAUCUCCAGAGUGACCAGGAGGAGGUGCCAUACUGGUGGCGAAUGUGGAAUUGUUUUGUUGUAUAGUCACUCCAGGACACACCUUUUAUGCCAAUUUUCAUCUUGAAGUGCAUAUUUGUGGCGAAGUUAAAACUAAGAAAUGAGGUUUGACGAAUUGGUUUUGUUUUGUUUGUAAAUAAUGCCACUGAAAAUCCAUUUGAAUCUUUCAAAGUUGCAAAACUGACAGAUGCUUUUUGCCAGACACGGGAACUGAAAUUCUAAAAGUAUCCACACAAGCUCAACAAAUGAUGGUGCACCACUGGUAUGACAUUUUUAGAGGCUGGUCCCCCCUUGUGGACAUCAGUUUUUUAAAUAUUAUGAUUCAUCCCAUAAUUAUUUUCUUUGUACUGAUGGGAAUAAUGUUUGUAAUGUGUUUUAUGUGCUGUUGGAUAAAGAGACUGUACCUCAAGUUAAAACCACAAGCCCAAAUUGCUUCACAAUACAUUGCCUUAAAGCAAUUACACAAGAUGUGACCCAUUUAAUAUAUUGAUAUUAAAGGGUCAAAAGGGGAACAAUGUAGGCCAAAAGCCUAAUGGGAAGAAAUUGUCUCAAGUAAAUUAUACUCCAUUUUGCUUGUUUAGCUUUAUACUCCAUUUUGCUAGCCCUGAAUUGUAAGAAGAAAUUGUUUUAAGUUUAUUCUUUGCUGAUUUGUGUUAAUGAUCCUUCUUAAGGAUAAAGUGUUAUGGCUGUAAUUAUUGCCUUACAUACUGUUUGGUAUGUGAGUGGAGAAUGUAUGGUAAUUAACUGAGAAAAGACAGCUGGGCCAGAGGUCAGGAAGGGAGUGGAGGAGUUGAGAGGCACCAACUUUAUCAAUCACCUGGAUGGCAGAUUGACAACCCUAAAGCAAAGGCAUACACCCCAAAGACCAGACAAAGAGUGGAGCCAGAGGGAUGAGAUAAGAAGCAGCUGUGGAUAACUCCUAGUAACAACCCAAAUCUUGAUUGAAGCAACCUUGACUACCUAGUGAUUAACAGCUCCCGUGUGACACAGAAAGGUCCAGAGCCUUGUAUGGGAACUUAUUACUAUAAAAGAAGAGUGUAUUGCCAUGGGACUUUGGGUUCGUUCUGCAUCAACAUUGGAGAUUCGAAUGUGUUCGACAGAGGCCCAGCUCCCCUCCCUCAUGUGCAGUUUCAGCUGGCCACUAGAACUGACUGAGCAACACUAAGGACUGGUAACUAUAAAAUCCAGCUGCAGAACC